GUUCUUUGAAGCCCAACCAACAAUUCAGGCAAAUUGUAAAGCUAAAAUCAUAGCAUGUUCAGGUAUUUAUGGGAUAUGGAAAAUUAACAAAGUCCAGUUCGACCACAAUCANNNNNNNNNNNNNNNNNNNNNNNNNNNNNNNAAAAAGGAUAUGAUGGAAAAAUGAAAUAUUUAAACCUUCACAUGUAGCCAUGAAGGCCGAAAAACCACUAAUACAAGCGGUUCUUUGAAGCCCAACCAACAAUUCAGGCAAAUUGUAAAGCUAAAAUCAUAGCAUGUUCAGGUAUUUAUGGGAUAUGGAAAAUUAACAAAGUCCAGUUCGACCACAAUCAUAAAACAAGUCCUUCAAAAUCGAGAUUGUAUCACUACAAUCAGGAGAUAAGUUCACAUGUGAAACGAAAGCUUGAAGUAAAUGAUUUGGCAGGAAUUCCAAUGCACAAAAGCUACAACUCUGUAGUUGUUGAAACAGGGGGUAUGAAAAUCUUACUUGUGUGGAAAAGGACAGUCAAAAUUAUGUUGAGGAAAUGAGAAGAUUAAAACUUGGGGAAGGAGAUGCCGCAGCAAUACAGUCCUACUUUUCCAAGAUGCAAGCCCAGUGCUCUGGACUCUACUUCAACAUAGAUUUGAAUGACAAAUCUUGAUUAAGAAAUGUCUUUUGGGCAAAUAACAGGUGUUGGCAAGCGUACAAGGAGUUCGACGACGUUAUCACAUUUGACACCACUUACUUAACUAACAAGUACGAUAUGCAUUUUACCCCUUUUGUUGGCGUUAAUCAUCACGGACAACCUACUUUGCUCGAUUAUGAUUUGUUGUCCAGUGAGAGCACAAAUUCUUUUGUGUGGCUAUUUAGGACAUGGCUUUAGUGUAUGUACGAAAAAGUUCCCCAUGGAAUCAUUAUCGAUCAAGAUAAAGUCAUGCAAAAUGCAAUUGAGAUUAUUUUUCCAAAUACGAAACACAGAUGGCGUUUGUGGCAUAUUCUGAAGAAAUUGCCAGAAAAAUUUGGAUUCCAUGUCGAUAAGGCUUCGAUUUUUCGAGCAUACAUAGGUUAUUAUAUGAUUCGCAGUUUGUUGAAGAAUUUGAAAAGGGUUGGAGAGUGAUGAUCGAGACAUAUGACUUGCAUAGCAAUGAUUGGUUAACAGGACUAUUCUAUAAUAGAAGUCAUUGGUUCCUUGCUAUUUAAAGACCACAUUUUGGGCAGGAAUGUCAACAACUCAGCGCAGGGAGAGUAUGAAUGCCUUUUUCGAUAGGUAUGUUCAUGCGAAAAUCUCAUUGAAGCAGUUUGUGAAACAAUAUGAACGAGCACUGAGGAAUAAGGUUGAGAAGGAGUUCCAGGUUGACUUCAAGUCAUACUCACAAAUGGUACCGUGUACAAAAUGUUCAAAAUGGAGAAGCAGUAUCAGAAGUGUUGUACCAUUUCAAAGUUCAGAUAAGUUCAAAUCGAAUUGAUUGGGAAGGUUUACUGUGACAUCAUUUUACUACGGAGAGUACUGCAGGAAUGACCUACGAAAUACGAGAGCUUGUGAUGUGUGAUGAGCGACGAAUCAUAAAAAAUUUCUUCGUCUCAUUCCAAAGAGAUGUUUGUGAAAUCAUUUGCAGUUGACACUUGUUUGAGUUUCGGGAAAUUCUAUGUUGGCAUGCUAUCAUGGUAUUGAUCCGAAACGAUGUCAUGUCACUGCCUGAGAGGUAUAUGCUACGACAAUGGAGGAGAGAUAUUUGUAGAGCACAUACCAGGUUCGCAGUGAAUUAUGAUGGUCUGGUAAGUAUGCCAGAAUAGUUGAGAUACGACGAUUUGUGUCAAGAUUUUGCGGAUGUUGCAAAUCUCAUUACCGAUGAUGAAGUGCAAUCCCAUGUAAUAAAGGAGUGGAUAAUAAAUAAAAAACAAGUGCUGCUUACGAUAAAGUCAGACAGUGGGAGUAUUAUUAUUUCACAUGUUGGUAAUCCGUUCACCUCACAGUGCAACGAAUCUAAAGACAAUGUCAGCGGGUGCGUACGCGAUCCUAUAUCAACCAAGAGGAAGGGUGCACCAAAGAAGCUUCGGAAGAAAAAUCCAUUGGAGUCCUCUUCGAAGAAAACUAAGGUAUGGUAGUCAGUCUUUUAAUUAAUUUAUUAAUAUUACGCUACAAUAGAUAUGUAAUACUUGUUUAUGUAUAGACUUCUACCAAAGGAAAGAGGCCAACGUCGAGUCACAGUAAUGCGCCAAUGGUUGCACCCAUCGUUGAAGCAUCUCCACAACUAUUGUUAGUUAGUAUAUUUUAGUGAUUUAGUUGAUUCUUAUUUUUUGAGUGAAGCUAAUAAUUGAGUUAUUGUUUGAUGUAGGGCGACGCCCAAAUCCAUGCUUACCCGCAACACUUGCCGGCAUCAAGUUUGGUCCGACCAACGUCAACAAAUCUUAUAUUUACUUCCUUUAGGUUUACAUGUUUCAAUCUUUCCAUUCCAUUCAACUUUUCAUUUGGUGUGUGCUUAUGUUCAUAUUCUACAAUAGGUCAUUCGGUUUCAUACUACUACCACAUUUUCCCCAACAAAGUGGCCCUGGCCAAUGAACCGUGGCUUCAAACAAGCAACUCGGCAAGAAGUUGUGGUAAAUGCUCAAUGGUUUAUUUUGAAGUCUUUUGUUUCAAUCUACAUCCUACAAAAGGGACACUCCCUCACCGAUUCUCAAAAAUGAGGAAAGAAAAUGUGGUGGCUGGUUAUCUAUGUUGUUUUUAAUUUUUGAGUUUCAGUUGAAGACAUGAUUUCUUUGUCAAAUGGCUGACAUUUGGAUAGUUUAGCAUUUUUGCUGAUGGUAAUUUUUGUUUUAAUUUCUAAUUAUUGUUGAUGGUAAUUAUUGUUCAAAUACUUUAUGUUCGUUUUACCCCGGCACUUCACAAACUAUCUUGUAUUGUAUAGGUAUUGUCAGCCAAUGGUAAUUAUUGUUCAAAUCAUAUUGUUUUGCUCUUUGAUAUUGUUCAAAUCAUACUGAUUCUAAAU
rnacentral:lncRNA from 1 species